UUAAGCUAAGAAGAGCGUAGGGAGAAUGCCUUGGCAUUAGGAGCCGACGAAGGACGUGAUAAGCUGCGAUAAGCUGCGGGGAUCAGCAAGUAUGAAUUGAUCCGCAGAUUUCCGAAUGGAGCAAUCCGUAUGUGUAUGCACAUACAUCAUAUACUGAAUCAAAUAGGUAUAUGAGGGGAACCGCCUGAACUGAAACAUCUAAGUAGGGCGAGGAAGAGAAAUCAACCGAGAUUCUGUGAGUAGUGGCGAGCGAAAGCGGAAGAGGCUAAACCAUAGGUAGCAAUACUUAUGGGGUUUCGGACAGCAUUUAGCAUUGAUAAUUUCUAGUUGAAACGUGUGGGAAAACGUACCGAAGAGUGUGAGAGUCACGUAAGCGAAAGAGAGAAUCAGCGAGCUGUAUCCAAAGUACCGCGGGACACGUGAAACCCCGUGGGAAGAUGGGGGGACCAUCCUCCAAGCCUAAAUACUACCUAAUGACCGAUAGCGAAUAGUACUGUGAAGGAACGGUGAAAAGAACCCCGGGAGGGGAGUGAAAAAGAACCUGAAACCCUAUGCUUACAAGCACCGAGAGCACGUCAAAGUGUGAUCGGGUACCUUUUGUAGAAUGGUCCGGCGAGUUAUUGUAUGCGGCAAGGUUAAGUGCUUAAGGCACGGAGCCGAAGCGAGAGCAAGUCUGAACAGGGCGAGUAAGUCGUAUGCAAUAGACCCGAAACCGAGUGACCUAUCCAUGUCCAGGCUGAAGUGGAGGUAAAACUCCAUGGAGGGCCGAACACACGUCCGUUGAAAAGGCCGGUGAUGAGGUGUGGAUAGCGGAGAAAUUCCAAUCGAACUCGGAUAUAGCUGGUUCUCUCCGAAAUAGCUUUAGGGCUAGCCUCGUGAAAGAUUACUGGAGGUAAAGCACUGAAUGGGCUAGGGGUCGAAAGAUUACUGAACCCUAUCAAACUAAGAAUGCCAGAUAAUUGAUUCACGGGAGUCAGACAAUGUGAGAUAAGUCUCAUUGUCAAAAGGGAAACAGCCCAGACCCACAGCUAAGGUCCCUAAACAUUGUUAAGUGGAAAAGGAUGUGGGGUUGCAUAAACAACCAGGAUGUUGGCUUAGAAGCAGCCACUCAUUAAAAGAGUGCGUAAUAGCUCACUGGUCGAGUGACCCUGCGCCGAAAAUUCAACGGGGCUAAACAAUGUACCGAAGCUUGGGAUUCUAAAGUAAUUUAGAGUGGUAGGAGAGCGUCGAAUAAGGGGUGAAGUCAGAGCGGAAGCGCUGGUGGACUUUAUUCGAGUGAGAAUGCCGGAAUGAGUAGCGAGAAUUAUGUGAGAAUCAUAAUGGCCGAAAAUCUAAGGUUUCCUGAGGAAGGUUCGUCCGCUCAGGGUAAGCCGGGGGCUAAGGCGAGGCGGAGACGCGUAGCCGAUGCACAUACGGUUGAAAUUCCGUAGCCACCGAAAGAUUUAAGUACAGGGACGCUUUAGAAGUGAUGUAGCCGGGCGAUGGUUGACCCGGUCGUAAGGGAUCGAAAAUGAGUAGAGAAGUCAUCAUGGAAAGAGACAAGAAAAGCUGUAUGAAUAUCUUAGGUGCCCGUACCGCAAACCGACACAGGUAGAUAGGAAGAAGAUUCUAAGGCCAACGGGAGAAGGGUUGUUAAGGAACUCGGCAAGUUGACCCCGUAACUUCGGAAUAAGGGGUGCUCAUGAAAGUGAGCCGCAGAGAAUAGGCCCAGGCAACUGUUUACCAAAAACACAGGUUUGUGCUAAAUCGAAAGAUGACGUAUACGAGCUGACGCCUGCCCGGUGCUGGAAGGUUAAGAGGAGAUGUGCAAGCAUUGAAUCGAAGCCCCAGUGAACGGCGGCCGUAACUAUAACGGUCCUAAGGUAGCGAAAUUCCUUGUCAGGUAAG
rnacentral:rRNA from 1 species